rnacentral:lncRNA from 1 species
AUGUUUGGCGUUGUAGAUUAUUUCUUACUAAAUGUUCAAACUAGUGCAGACUGCAGCGAGCGUAUGCAGAAGUUUACCUUAAGAAUCCUGGCCGGGACUCACAUUUACGAAGCAGAGACUACUUGUGAUCUCGGGGAAUGUAACCUGCUCCCAGGACUGCAGGUCACUGCAAGCAAGGAAGGAGUCCCCAGCAAUGCUGACUGCCUUUGCGCUGCCCUCACGCCGUGCCUCUCCCUAAGUUUCUCGGUUUGGCUGAUGUUCCUGGGAAAUUACAACUCCUGCUGUAGCACAGUGCUUUCCCUCUGACUGCUCUGGCUCAUACGUUCUGGAAGAUGUAGUUUGACCAGCUUGCCAUGCCUGUGGGAAAGAAUGGGGCAUCUUUACUUGAAACAACAAGCUCUUUCAAGCUGUGGAGCUACACCGCAAUGGGAAAUGAAAGUUUAACAUUGAGAUGACUGGAAGCAAGUAUUUUUAGCCUUGUUUCAACAUGAUUCUUUACCAUGAUGUUUCCUAAUCAAAGCUUUGGAAUUUGUCUUCUGUGUUUCUCCAGGAUGUACCUUGAAAUAAUACCUUUAAACAGUCAAAUGCAGCAAUUGGUAUCUUUGAGUGUAGGAGAGUAAACAUCGGUGAAAAAUACAACCAACUUGAUUGACUGGUAUAAUGAUAAAUGGAACUGCAGCAGAAUUUACAGCUAUUAGUAGAUUCAGAGAAUCACGGAAUUGUUUGUGUUGGAAGGGACCUUAAAAAAUCAUCUAGUCCAACCCCCUUGCCCUGGGCAGGGACACCUCCCACCAGCCCAGGUUGCUCCAAGCCCCAUCCAGCCUGGCCUUGAACCCCUCCAGGGAUGGGGCAGCCACAGCUUCUCUGGGCAGCUUGUUUCUGUGUCUCACCACCCUCCUCAUAAGAAAUUGCCUCCUUACGUUCAAUCUAAAUCUACCCUCUUUCCAUUUAAAAACAUUGCCUCUUGUCCUGUCACUUACAGGCCCUGUUGAAAAGUCUUUUGCUACCUUUUUUAUAAACCACUUUUAAGUACUGAAAGGCCACUAUGGGGUCUCCCUGGGGCCUUCUCUUCCCCAGGCUGAACCACCCCAGCUCCCUCAGCCUGUCCUCACAGGAGGUGUGGCAGCUCAUGGAUCAUUUUUGUGGCCCUCCUCUGGACCAGCUUUAAGAAGUUCCUGUCUUGCCUAUUGCUGAAGUCUAAUUCUUGAUGAUGACUAAGUGCUGGUUUCAUGUAGGAAAUGUUGAAAUGUCAGCUUUCUUUGGGAUGAUAAAACGGGACGAAAACAGAUAAUGACACUUUCCAACU